rnacentral:rRNA from 1 species
GAUGAACGCUGGCGGCGUGCCUAAUACAUGCAAGUCGAGCGAACGGACGAGAAGCUUGCUUCUCUGAUGUUAGCGGCGGACGGGUGAGUAACACGUGUAUAACCUACCUAUAAGACUGGUAUAACUUCGGGAAACCGGAGCUAAUACCGGAUAAUAUUUUGAACCGCAUGGUUCAAAAGUGAAAUACGGUCUUGCUGUCACUUAUAGAUGUAUCCGCGCUGCAUUAGCUAGUUGGUAAGGUAACGGCUUACCAAGGCAACGAUGCAUAGCCGACCUGAGAGGGUGAAGGGCCACACUGGAACUGAGACACGGCCCAGACUCCGACGGGAGGCAGAAGUAGGGAAUCUUCCGAAAUGGGCGAAAGACUGAAGGAGCAACGCAGCGUGAGUGAUGAAGGUCUUCGGAUCGUAAAACUCUGUUAUGAGGGAAGAACAUAUGUGUAAGUAACUGUGCACAACUUGACGGUACCUAAUCAGAAAGCCACGGCUAACUACGUG